rnacentral:rRNA from 1 species
GAAUAUGGGGGGCCCAUCCUCCAAGGCUAAAUACUCCUGACUGACCGAUAGUGAACCAGUACCGUGAGGGAAAGGCGAAAAGAACCCCGGCGAGGGGAGUGAAAAAGAACCUGAAACCGUGUACGUACAAGCAGUGGGAGCACGCUUAGGCGUGUGACUGCGUACCUUUUGUAUAAUGGGUCAGCGACUUAUAUUCUGUAGCAAGGUUAACCGAAUAGGGGAGCCGAAGGGAAACCGAGUCUUAACUGGGCGUUAAGUUGCAGGGUAUAGACCCGAAACCCGGUGAUCUAGCCAUGGGCAGGUUGAAGGUUGGGUAACACUAACUGGAGGACCGAACCGACUAAUGUUGAAAAAUUAGCGGAUGACUUGUGGCUGGGGGUGAAAGGCCAAUCAAACCGGGAGAUAGCUGGUUCUCCCCGAAAGCUAUUUAGGUAGCGCCUCGUGAAUUCAUCUCCGGGGGUAGAGCACUGUUUCGGCAAGGGGGUCAUCCCGACUUACCAACCCGAUGCAAACUGCGAAUACCGGAGAAUGUUAUCACGGGAGACACACGGCGGGUGCUAACGUCCGUCGUGAAGAGGGAAACAACCCAGACCGCCAGCUAAGGUCCCAAAGUCAUGGUUAAGUGGGAAACGAUGUGGGAAGGCCCAGACAGCCAGGAUGUUGGCUUAGAAGCAGCCAUCAUUUAAAGAAAGCGUAAUAGCUCACUGGUCGAGUCGGCCUGCGCGGAAGAUGUAACGGGGCUAAACCAUGCACCGAAGCUGCGGCAGCGACGCUUAUGCGUUGUUGGGUAGGGGAGCGUUCUGUAAGCCUGCGAAGGUGUGCUGUGAGGCAUGCUGGAGGUAUCAGAAGUGCGAAUGCUGACAUAAGUAACGAUAAAGCGGGUGAAAAGCCCGCUCGCCGGAAGACCAAGGGUUCCUGUCCAACGUUAAUCGGGGCAGGGUGAGUCGACCCCUAAGGCGAGGCCGAAAGGCGUAGUCGAUGGGAAACAGGUUAAUAUUCCUGUACUUGGUGUUACUGCGAAGGGGGGACGGAGAAGGCUAUGUUGGCCGGGCGACGGUUGUCCCGGUUUAAGCGUGUAGGCUGGUUUUCCAGGCAAAUCCGGAAAAUCAAGGCUGAGGCGUGAUGACGAGGCACUACGGUGCUGAAGCAACAAAUGCCCUGCUUCCAGGAAAAGCCUCUAAGCAUCAGGUAACAUCAAAUCGUACCCCAAACCGACACAGGUGGUCAGGUAGAGAAUACCAAGGCGCUUGAGAGAACUCGGGUGAAGGAACUAGGCAAAAUGGUGCCGUAACUUCGGGAGAAGGCACGCUGAUAUGUAGGUGAAGUCCCUUGCGGAUGGAGCUGAAAUCAGUCGAAGAUACCAGCUGGCUGCAACUGUUUAUUAAAAACACAGCACUGUGCAAACACGAAAGUGGACGUAUACGGUGUGACGCCUGCCCGGUGCCGGAAGGUUAAUUGAUGGGGUCAGCGCAAGCGAAGCUCUUGAUCGAAGCCCCGGUAAACGGCGGCCGUAACUAUAACGGUCCUAAGGUAGCGAAAUUCCUUGUCGGGUAAGUUCCGACCUGCACGAAUGGCGUAAUGAUGGCCAGGCUGUCUCCACCCGAGACUCAGUGAAAUUGAACUCGCUGUGAAGAUGCAGUGUACCCGCGGCAAGACGGAAAGACCCCGUGAACCUUUACUAUAGCUUGACACUGAACAUUGAGCCUUGAUGUGUAGGAUAGGUGGGAGGCUUUGAAGUG